GGAGUGGUGCUCGAGUGGCUGAAGAGGCACGCCUGGAAAGCGUGUAGUCGCCAAAAGCGGCUCGCGAGUUCGAAUCUCGCCCACUCCG
rnacentral:tRNA from 2 species